rnacentral:rRNA from 1 species
ACGUUUGACCUCGGAUCAGGUAGGGAUACCCGCUGAACUUAAGCAUAUCAAUAAGCGGAGG